AAUUACUGUGAGCGGCUUCCACUUGUGGGUUGCUCCCUCAUCUGGAACAUCUUGACGUCAGGCGUGCUGCAUCAGUCAUAGACGUUGGACCUGAAUUUUUGAUCGGCGGCAGAGCAGGAGUAGAUCCUUUCAAGUAUGCAUUUCCCAAGCUGGAGACGUUGUGCUUUAAUUAUAUGCGGCAUUGGCAGGAAUGGCAUUGGGAUAAAGGAACACAAGGAAUGUCGUGUCUAAAAGACCUGUACCUUUCUGACUGCCCCAAGUUGAAGUCUCUUCCCGAGGGUCUCCUGCUCCACGACAAAAUUGGAUAUCAGUGUUGCGCACAGCCUAACGACAAUUGAAAAGCUCCUUUCGCUCAAAGAAUUGUAUAUAAUUAACAAUCCCAAGCUGGAGAAAGUUUCAGACCUCCCUGCACUCACAACCCUCCAUGUUGUGUACUGCUCGAAAUUGCAAGUGGUGGAGAAUCUUCAAUCCUUGAGAAGGAUGUAUCUGAUCGAUUACCAAAUGAAAUCUCUCCCGUCAUACUUUCUGAAAAGAGUACAUACAGCUCAUCUGGAGAAGCUGGAGAUCCGGUGCAGCAAGAACUGGUAAGAAAUAUUUGCCAAAGGACCAGCCCGGAGUGGCCAACAAUCCAAGGCAUCCAGCAGGUGAAUGUAUACUCACCGGAUAGAUCGGUGCAUGCCUUCUAUAACAAGUCCCCCUUCAGUUUCACUACAAAUUUCAACAGCACCACCACCAGCAGCAGCAGUUUUGAGAUGCCCUCAAGUAGCAGCGGCACUGCUCUCUAAUCUGUGCCUCCUCCGCACUCCCUUUCAACCAUGGUUUCUGUUUUUUAAAGAUAUAACGAAGACUUGAUUGCAUGCGAUCCACUUAUCUAUGUAUAUAUCUCUCGCCCAAUGGUGCAGAACUUUAGAAGAACAAUGGUCGUUUAUGUUGCUAUCUACAAGUCCAGAGUGAUACAGAACUAUGGCUUAUUGUGCCAUUUUGAUGCUUAAUCCUGAAGCUUGCACAUAUGAUCUUGUUUCUUUGCCUGUGAUCAGGUUCUGGAAAAUGAAAAGCAGGAAUGGCAUCUCGUUAAAGCUAUGUAGGAAUUCAACUUCCUAAAGAAGAAGUUUAUGGGAUGAGAAGAAUGGGAACUGGGGAAGCUGUGAAUCUAUGACUUUCCGGAAAGCUUAAAUUGUCCUAGCUCAUGCUUCUUUGAAGGACUAAAUAAAAAGUUAUUCAUGGAAUAGCAUUUUGUCAGCUCUUAUAUUUUAUGAUCUGCAAUGCCUUUGCUGCUCUUCUCAUGUAAGUUUUAACAAUGGAUGACAGCUCUAAAAUUUUGACUCUGUCUUCAUCCAUUGAUCAAUGGACGAUUAAUAUUUCA